rnacentral:sRNA from 2 species
CUUUAAUUUCCUUAGAGGAUUUGCUGAUGCAAAUCCUCUUUUUUAAUUCUUUUUCCGAUUCCCCUUUCUUUCUCUCAUCGGCUAUGGUAUAUUAUUAAGUAAUUAUUGUUGUUCGGUGGAGAUACAAAGUUUACGCUUUAACUCGAUGAAAUUGAUCACGGUAGUAAUAAUCAGUGUGACUCAGUCACACGCAGGAGGCAACACACAUGGAACAAGGUACAGUAAAAUGGUUUAACGCAGAAAAAGGUUUUGGCUUCAUCGAACGUGAAAGCGGCGACGACGUUUUCGUUCACUUCUCAGCUAUCCAAACUGAUGGCUUCAAAUCACUUGACGAAGGUCAAGAGGUUUCUUUCGAAGUUGAAGAAGGUCAACGCGGACCGCAAGCAACUAACGUUACUAAACUUUAAUUUCCUUAGAGGAUUUGCUGAUGCAAAUCCUCUUUUU